GAUGAAGAACGCAGCGAAAUGCGAUAAGUAAUGUGAAUUGCAGAAUUCAGUGAAUCAUCGAAUCUUUGAACGCACAUUGCGCCCGCCAGUAUUCUGGCGGGCAUGCCUGUUCGAGCGUCAUUUCAACCAUCAAGCCCCCGGCUUGUGUUGGGGACCUGCGGCUGCCGCAGGCCCUGAAAACCAGUGGCGGGCUCGCUAGUCACACCGAGCGUAGUAAUACAUCUCGCUCAGGGCGUGCUGCGGGUUCCGGCCGUUAAAAAAGCCUUAUUUACCCAAGGUUGACCUCGGAUCAGGUAGGAAGACCCGCUGAACUUAAGCAUAUCAAUAAGCGGAGGA
rnacentral:misc_RNA from 1 species